rnacentral:tRNA from 1 species
GGAACAUAGCUCAUUUGGUAGAGUGCUUGCCUAGCAUGUACAAGGCCCUGGGUUCAAUUCCCAGCACCA